GGUUUAGAUUAGCCGUGUCCUACGCCGCUUGACAGGGUGACACGGGUCUGCAGGGCCGAGCCCGGGGCCUGGAGAUAGGACCAGCCGGCAGGAAUGCAGGGAAUGUUUUUCUUCGGACUCUAUCGAGGCACACAGACCAUGGGGAUUCUGUCUGUGGUGACAGCCUUAACAUUUACCAGAGCCCGGGACGCCGCUGUAGAAAUGGCAUUGCCCACCCCGAAAGUGAGAAGGUAACGUUUAUUUUUGUAUUUUUUUCCUCUCUCUCCCAUAUACAGACUGUAGAAAGACCACCAAGCGUGGGCCAUUUUUUUUUUCCACCAUGAUGUACAAUUCACAUUUGUUAAUCAAAAAAAAGUACCCGGGGUCAUCCACCUAGCCUUUUUUUUUUUUUUUUUCUUCUUCUUCUUCUUAAACAGGAAACGGGUUUCAGAUGUUUAUAUGUUAAAAAGUAAGGCUACUAAUCUGUUUAGCCAUUUACCAGAUCCUGGCGAACUCCCUCCUACAUUUUAAUGUUCAGACUCCAUAGAAUGACGUUCGUUUUAUCCCGCUUGUAAUUGAGAAUGAAAAAACAAAAUCGUUCAAUAGUCACCUGCUUUUUUGGGACGGUUCCAGGAGAGGUUAGAAUAAAUGAAUCUGGUCGUUUAGUGAAACCGUGCUCGUGGUGGCAAUGGCCAACGUUGUGUUCGCGUUUGAAAAUUCAACUUUCUCAGGCAAUUCUCUGCAACAGACCGCGGUCACGUGCAUUUUCAUGUAUCUGUGGAGACAUCCUAUUUAGACUCAGGACAGAGGUUUACAAAGACACACAGUUAGGAAAUCUGCAGCAAAGGCAAAAGCUGUUCUUUUAAAACACGGGAUCUUUUUCUUCGAACCAGCAGGACAUUUUCCACGGCGCGUCUCGAUACUAGGCUGUAAAUGGUAACGGAGAAAAACCAUUUUCCCAGGGAGUCCACGGUCACUUGAAAGGAUUUCGGCCUGAUGUUUAGAAAUCAAGAUUUUUGUUUUAUUGCUGGAAUUUUCUUUUUCUCGCCCCAGGGCCGAUCACUUCAAACAGUCUCGCUGCUGGUGAAAACGUGGCCGUUUAGUGUGGCAAAAUGAUGAUACUUCUCUGUGCUGGGAGGUUCAUGUAUUUACAGUCCGGGAGAAAGGAGCACAAACAGGGAGGGGAAGUUUGAAUGCUUUUUUGGUGAAUUUGUUAGUGUGCGAAUCACUGGCUGAAAAGGCUGUUUUAAAUGUAGGACUCAAAACAGAAGGAAUUGUAUCAUUUGUGAAACCUGGGUCUGACGGCCCCUACUCUUUACCCGUCUGUGUUUGACCCGAUGUUUUCCGUCUGCAGAUUGUGUAGGGAGGAAAACUGCGGCUUCUGGAGACUUUUUUGUCAAGGAGAGAGAAAUAGGAAAUUGAAAUGAGCUCUUAAAAGCAGCCCAGUAUCCCUGAAUCGGCGAGAAGGGUUUUUGUAAAAAUUAAAACAUAGGCAAAGAAUCAUUCUCAACUCCUGUGCGAGCAUCCUUGCCUGCCUCCACCCCAAUAUAUGCAUUGAUAUGAUAUUCUAUGAGGCAAAAAUACAGUUGUUUUCUUUUUCACCAGACGUAUCAGAAGUGGCUGGAGAAAAGAUGAGUAUAAGUGUAAAAAUAGACCCGUAAUCAAUGUCCAGGCUCCUUUCAAUGAGGAUGGGAGGGAUCGGAUUAAACACAAAAUACGUAUUUUUUUGGCAAACAAAAAAGCCAUUUUGAUUGCUUGGGGCAUGUUUUAAUCACAGCUGCUCCAGGAUGGGUGUUAGGACCUCCUGGCGCGAACCCAGGGACAAACACUAACAAUCGCGCCGGCACUGAAUGUGAGCAGAAAUCGAGGAAAGCGGCAGAACCUUCUGUCGAGUGGGUCCCUCAAAGUGUAAGCACCCUAGCCGAGGCUGGUCCACGCAGAGCAAACCCCCACCAACCCCGGCUCGCUCUCCAGAAUGUGCCUGCCAUACCCAAGGUCCCGGAAUCUCGCCCAAGAAAAGAACAGCUUCAGGGGCCCUUUGGCAAACCACCGGGGGGCUGAAAAGGGCAGAGAGGAGGCCUGGGACGACAUCUACGCAGCGUCCAAGAGGCCAAAGAGCCAACGGAGAGAAGAAGACACCACUCUGAUGAGGGGGCACAGACUCCGUGCCGGGAAAUUUCCCACGUGGGGCAGGACGCAGGGCAUCGGGCUGGGGCUUCCUCGGCCGGCCUGUGUGACCAUCACAGGAGACGACCCACUUUGGCUCAGUACCUUUUUUUUUUUUUUUUGACCGUCUCUCUGGGCCCUGGAUCGCCAGGAACAGAAAAAUGCCAAAGUCUGCAAAUGCAGGGCAAUCGCCGUGUCAGCUGAGCUGAGAUGUUUCCCAAACGAACACCUGGACGAUGUAAAUCACCCCAGCAGUAAACACUUCAGGCCGGCGCAGGCCGCGGGCUGGCGGGCGGCACCCUCCCACCCGGCCGGGGUCCAUAAACCAGGCGCUGGCCCGCAAUCACAAACGUCCCUCUCACCGAGAAAGACCCCUCCCGGGAUGGGAGCAGAGCCCCUUCGCAGAGGCCACGCAGAUAACCGACUGCCCUCGCCGCUGGCCGCCUUACCCUGGGCUGGUAUCUGGAGCACAGUCAGAGGUCUGUGUCGUUACGGAUGGCCAGGCCCACGGGCGUCAAGGUGGCUAUUUUCAAAGGCAGUGUGCAAAGGUAAAACCUAAAAGACAAACAAACAAAAGUCUUGUGUUUUCAACCUUGACAAUAAAAUCUGAAUCAUAGCCACAGUAAUAACCGAAACGUCUCUGUGGAGGGUCCCCAAAGUUAGUAGAAAUCCAAGUGUCCUUCCCUCCUUUAAAACAUAGUGAAUUAAGAGGUUAAAUCUUCUCCGUGCCACCCUGGAAUCCCCGACCCUUGACGGAUGACCCUGCAUCUGGCGUAAGCGAUGGUUAUAAAGAUCCCUGAAUGGGGGGAAGCGGACGGCGGAGGACGGAAUACAUCGCCCGAAAGGUCACCUCCUUGGGAAUUUCCUUACAUUCUGAUGCUCUCCUUUAAGAAGAGAAAUCUCUCCUUGUAAUUAUCUGCUUAGGGGGAGUCUUUUAAAUGACAUGUUCCUCCGUCAACGGCACAGUUGUCCACUUGGUAAAAGCGGCCUGGGGCGUAGGCUUUUUAUGGCUCUGUUCCUUUCUCCCCACGGCCCGGACCAGAGAUGCGGAGGGAACCCGAGAGCAGUUCCCCUGCCUCCGGGAUCAACUUUGCACCAAAGAAAAAUAACCCGGAGAAAUUAUUCCUCAGCCAGGAACGAAGGAAGCCAGGAUCAGAUGGUUGCUGAUCAGAGCAAAUAUUUAAACUGGAUAAGUCAAGUCGAGCAUUAUUAAAUAAAGCUUGUUUAAUAUGUCUCAAACAGAAAA
rnacentral:lncRNA from 1 species